UUAGAAUAUCGUUAUCCUACUCGGAUAACUGUGGCAAUUCUAGAGCUAAUACGUGCAAAAAAGCUCAAACUUUUAAAACGGAAUGAGCGCAUUUAUUAGAAUAAAAACCAAUAGCGGCCGUAAAAAAGCCGUUUUUACAAUUGGUGAAUCUGAAUAACUCUAGCCAAUCGCACGGUCUUGGUACCGGCGAUGUAUCUUUCAAAUGUCUGCCUUAUCAACUUUCGAUGGUAGGUUAUACGCCUACCAUGGUAGUAACGGGUAACGGAGAAUAAGGGUUCGACUCCGGAGAGGGAGCCUGAGAAAUGGCUACCACAUCCAAGGAAGGCAGCAGGCGCGCAAAUUACCCAAUUCCAGAACGGAGAGGUAGUGACGAAAAAUAACGAGACAGUCCUCUUCGAGGUCUGUCAUCGGAAUGGGUACAAUUUAAAUCCUUUAACGAGGAUCUAUUGGAGGGCAAGUCUGGUGCCAGCAGCCGCGGUAAUUCCAGCUCCAAUAGCGUAUAUUAAAGUUGUUGCGGUUAAAACGCUCGUAGUUGGAUCUGCGACUAUUUUGGAGGACGGUCCCCCGAAAGGGCGGUCACUGUUACUCCUGGUCUUUUUUUUAUUCGAGUUACAAAUUUCGCGUUAGGUGCUCUUCAUCGGGCGUCUAACGCGGCUCGAUAGUUUACUUUGAAAAAAUUAGAGUGCUCAAAGCAGGCGAUCUUCCGCCUGAAUAAAAUGCAUGGAAUAAUGGAAUAGGAUCUCGGUUCUAUUUUGUUGGUUUUCGGAGCCCGAGAUAAUGAUUAAGAGGAACAGACGGGGGCAUUCGUAUUCCG
rnacentral:rRNA from 1 species